CCUACGGGUGGCAGCAGUGGGGAAUAUUGCACAAUGGGGGAAACCCUGAUGCAGCGACGCCGCGUGAGUGAAGAAGUAAUUCGUUAUGUAAAGCUCUAUCAGCAGGGAAGAAAAUGACGGUACCUGAGUAAGAAGCCCCGGCUAACUACGUGCCAGCAGCCGCGGUAAUACGUAGGGGGCAAGCGUUAUCCGGAUUUACUGGGUGUAAAGGGAGCGUAGACGGCAGUGCAAGUCUGGAGUGAAAUCCCCGCGCUCAACGUGGGAACUGCCUUUGAAACUGGCAAACUGGAGUGUGUGAGAGGAUAGUGGAAUUCCAGGUGUAGGAGUGAAAUCCGUAGAUAUCUGGAGGAACAUCAGUGGCGAAGGCGACUAUCUGGCACAUAACUGACGCUGAGGAGCGAAAGCGUGGGUAGCAAACAGGAUUAGAUACCCGUGUAGUC
rnacentral:rRNA from 1 species